UACGGAGGGGGCAAGCGUUAUCCGGAUUUACUGGGUUUAAAGGGUGCGUAGGCGGGCAGGUAAGUCAGUGGUGAAAUCUCCGAGCUUAACUCGGAGACUGCCGUUGAUACUAUUUGUCUUGAAUAUUGUGGAGGUAAGCGGAAUAUGUCAUGUAGCGGUGAAAUGCUUAGAUAUGGCAUAGAACACCAAUAGCGAAGGCAGCUUACUACACAACGAUUGACGCUGAGGCACGAAAGCGUGGGGAUCAAACAGG
rnacentral:rRNA from 1 species